CUGAGUUUGCCUGUUAUAAUAUUUUCUGAUCAAAAAGUGACAAUGAUAUCUUUCAUGUCUGCGUUUAUUUAUUUGCUACUCGAAGACUAGAGAGAUGAAUGAUUUUACGAAAGAAUCAGUUGUAGUGGCUGAUGAAAGUGUAUUGUUUACUUAGAAAAUGCUGUGUUAAUUUUAUUCGGUAACGGAUCGUAGCAAUUUUACAAAUCAGUUGGACAAAUUCGUGGAGCAUGGACCAUUGUACCUUGAUAACAAUCCUGUUCGUGAGCGAUGCAAGAAUACUGCACUUUGGCAGCUGAUG